rnacentral:rRNA from 1 species
AUUGAACGCUGGCGGCAUGCCUUACACAUGCAAGUCGAACGGCAGCACGGGUGCUUGCACCUGGUGGCGAGUGGCGAACGGGUGAGUAAUACAUCGGAACAUGUCCUGUAGUGGGGGAUAGCCCGGCGAAAGCCGGAUUAAUACCGCAUACGAUCUACGGAUGAAAGCGGGGUACCUUCGGGCCUCGCGCUUUAGGGUUGGCCGAUGGCUGAUUAGCUAGUUGGUGGGGUAAAGGCCUACCAAGGCGACGAUCAGUAGCUGGUCUGAGAGGACGACCAGCCACACUGGGACUGAGACACGGCCCAGACUCCUACGGGAGGCAGCAGUGGGGAAUUUUGGACAAUGGGCGAAAGCCUGAUCCAGCAAUGCCGCGUGUGUGAAGAAGGCCUUCGGGUUGUAAAGCACUUUUGUCCGGAAAGAAAUCCUUGGCCCUAAUACGGUCGGGGGAUGACGGUACCGGAAGAAUAAGCACCGGCUAACUACGUG